rnacentral:rRNA from 1 species
GACGGGAGAUGCGAGCGUUGUUCGGAAUCAUUGGGCUUAAAGCGCGUGUAGGCGGCCCGGUAAGUAUCUUGUGAAAUCCCGCGUCUCAACCGCGGAACCGCUUGGUAUACUGCCGGGCUCGAGGUAGGUAGAGGUGCCUGGAACUCUAGGUGGAGCGGUGAAAUGCGUAGAUAUCUAGAGGAACGCCCGUGGCGAAAGCGGGGCACUGGGCCUACCCUGACGCUGAGACGCGAAAGCGUGGGGAGCAAACGGG